GACGAACGCUGGCGGCGUGCUUAACACAUGCAAGUCGAACGGAAAGGCCCUGCCUUUGUGGGGUGCUCGAGUGGCGAACGGGUGAGUAACACGUGAGUAACCUGCCCUUGACUUUGGGAUAACUUCAGGAAACUGGGGCUAAUACCGGAUAGGAGCUCCUGCUGCAUGGUGGGGGGUGGAAAGUUUGGGCGGUUGGGGAUGGACUCGCGGCUUAUCAGCUUGUUGGUGGGGUAGUGGCAUACCAAGGCUUUGACGGGUAGCCGGCCUGAGAGGGUGACCGGCCACAUUGGGACUGAGAUACGGCCCAGACUCCUACGGGAGGCGGCAGUGGGGAAUAUUGCACAAUGGGCGGAAGCCUGAUGCAGCAACGCCGCGUGCGGGAUGACGGCCUUCGGGUUGUAAACCGCUUUCGCCUGUGACGAAGCGUGAGUGACGGUAAUUGGUAAAGAAGCACCGGCUAACUACGUG
rnacentral:rRNA from 1 species